CGUUAUGGCGGCUGUGCGUGGGGCACCUUCGGGUGCGCCGGGUGCCUGACGUCCCGGUCGGCUAACCCGCGUACAGCUGCCACCC
rnacentral:antisense_RNA from 17 species